CAUGCUGGAUCCUUAACUCACUGAUUGAGGCAGGGAUCAAACACUCGUAGACAGAGGACUCGGGUCCUCUGAGCCACAACAGAAACUCUUCUUUUUUUUUUUUAAUUCAGAAAGAUAUACCUUUUUCAGAAGCCCCAGCCAACUUUCCCUUAUUUCCCACUGGCCAGAACUAGAUCACUUACGCUUCUCCCCCUUAUCCCUGCCUCAGACCAAUUAUUGGCAAAAAACCAAUAAUGACUCAUCCCUGGGGCAGGGGGCGGAGUCUACCUUUCUUGAAAUCAUCAAAUUGGGAUGGGCCAUUGGAAAAGCAGCUUUGACUAUCACAGGAACUCUGCUCCAGCCAAGCACCCCGCUAGAUACUUGACAGACUUUUUCCACUUAAUUCUCACAACAGUUAUCUGAGAGUAAAUAAGAUGUGGCAGAGUGAUAAGGAUACUCCUAAAGUCUACCUUGGUGAACUUCCUAAGUUUCAUACACUCAUAUUUGCAGGCUCACUGCAGCUUAGAAAUGGCACAAAAUCCACAGAAGACAUACCCAUACCCAUGCACAUGAUGAAAGUGGCUUUGCUUGACAAAAAAAAAAAAAAAGAAAGAAAAAAAGAAAAAAGAAAAAGAAAGAAGAAGAAAAAGAAACAAACAAAAAUUUCCUCCUUAAGAACUAGGAGUGGUCUCUUGAGACUGUUUUGCUGGAUUUGGUAGACUGCUAUGUGCAAAGAUCACAUUCUUGAGGUUGUGGUCGUGCUAAAGGGGUAAGAACAGAGGAAGAGGAAAGAUUCUGAACAAAGAAGAUUUAAGUUGACUAGCAGGGAGAAAAAUCUUCACAGAGGAGUCUGUAAAUUCAAGAGAAGUGGUGGGAGUCCUCACUGGAAUACUUGGAGAAGAACUACACAGAAUAACAGAGGCCCUUCUGUGGGGAACCAUCUCAAGUUGGCAGUUGCUCAGACAAGUCCACCCACCGGGACCAGAGGCACUUACAGGCUCCAUGGCUCUCUGAGCUUCUGAUUUCUUGAAAUACCUGGGAGAGCACUCUCAGAGAAAAAGACUCUCUUGACUUUAAGGCUAUGUUUACGAGUCAACAGUUGAGAAACAUUUUUGCUAUGAAGACCAUUUGGUGGCCCUCCAGGGACAGUUCAGCUUGUCAGAAGGUUAUCAUCUAUUGACGUCCUAUCAUGCAGAGGAAGAUUUAAAUAUCCUGUCUCCUCCAUCCUUACAGAACCAGUGGAACCCAGUCAUAAACACUUCUCUCCUGUUAUCUUCCUGAUUGAGACUUAUUGUAAUUUUGAUUGAUUUAAUGUUCAGGAUUAACAUUAUUAUGACUCUGGAGGCUAUUCAGUGCUGAGUCAUCUAGUAAACUCUCAUGACUCUUCCUUUACUGCACAUGUUGUAGUUUUCCCUCCAGUUAAGAACUGUCUUGGAGUUCCUGUCGUGGCACGGUGGAAACGAAUCCGAUUAGGACCCAUGAGGUUUCGGGUUCGAUU